GAGAGGUGAGGGCAGGAUUGGUGUCCAGCAUCAGCAACCCGUGCUGGGCGCUGGGCAUCCCUCCUGCUGUGGCACAGGCAGCGCUUGGAUCCUUCCGGCUGUCCCCGCACGGCCUCGCUGUGCUGGAACGCUUCCCCCGGCAGCCAGUGCCUUCCUCUGGUGCUUUGGAAGCCCAAACCCUGCCCUAACUCACACACAAAGCUACAGGAUCCACGGCUGGGCCAGACCUUGGAGAGCCUGAGCACCAGCCCAGCCAGGGCAUUGAUGCUGCAAAGACCCAGCAGUGAGAGGAGAAUGGAGGUGCCCCGGUGCCACCGCCCUGCUCCGGCCGCCCUCGUGCCGUGCCUGCAUCCCGCUGGAUGGUCCUGGUCCUGCCAUGGUUUAACAACAAGGGUGCCUGGAUCCGUCUGUGGAGCCUCCUCACUUCCCAGUUCCAAACACCCAAGAGCCCUCAGGCACGGAGGGACCUCCCUCGCUGCCCAUUCCACUGCAUCCCACCCUAAAACACCUUCCCUGAGCUUCCCAGGAAUACCCGGGGACGGCCCAGCCUUUUGGGGUCACCCCUUAACAGCCUUUCCCCUCUCCCAGCACCAACCACGGGGCUGCAUCCAGCGCUCCAGGGCCCCCACUCAGCCCCACACCCCUCCCUCUGCUGAGCCUCCCCGGGCACCUCAGGGGAGCAGGAGGGAAGGAGGGAGAGGGACGCAACUCCCAAAUCCACAGGCGGCAAAGGAGGAGCACGGAGGCUCCAGGAGGGACCCGGGGGUGGCCGAGAGCGGAGAGCCCUCGGAGCGAUGCUCCCAAAUCCCUCUCUCCCAAGAACAAAGCUGCAGCCUCCCCGCAGAUGCAGAACAGGCGACGAGCGGCGAUGAUUUAUUUCUCUCCCCCGGUAGAUAAAUCGGCCUCGGAAAAAGGGUUGGUGCUAAAUUACAAUUUGCAUGCGGUGACAUAUAUCUGAGCAACUUUCCUUCCA